ACCGCGCCGCGCCCGCCCGCCCGCCCAUGGACGUGGACCAGUCGUCGUCCCCGCGGCGGCCGCCGUUGUCGACGACGGGCUACUUGGACCCGGAGUCCUCCCGCCUCCGGGAGGAGUACCGCCGCUACAGAAAGAGACUAUCUUCUUCAAAUGACUCCCCGCUGUUGGGGACCUCAGUCUCCAGAUUCUCAGAAGCAAGGGUGUUGCAUGAUGGUAGCAGCAUGCCUAGGCGGCCCAACGCUGGUCUACUCCUUGAGGAAAUCAAGCAGGAGGCGGCUGAUUAUUCUGACAUUGACGGUUUGGAUGGAUCAAAACUGUUUGGAUCAGCCAAAAGAAGGACAUCGCUGGAUGGCGGUUCUGCACCAGACGCAGGUUUCCUUUCUGGUAGAAAGCCGACGAGGUCGUCUAUGAAUCCAGUCAAGAUGGAGGGCGAUAUGCUACAAGAAGGAGAAACAACUUUUACAGUGUUUGCAUCCCUUCUUGAUUCUGCGAUACAAGGAUUGAUGCCCUUCCCAGAUGUGAUUUUACAGUUUGAGAGGACAUGCAGAAACGCUUCAGAGUCGAUAAGGUAUGCUGCCACAGGAAAGCUUCGGAUGGCAGAAGAUAAACUUAUGCAGCAAAAAGCACAACUGUUACUGGAUGAAGCUGCUUCUUGGUCACUUCUUUGGUAUCUCUAUGGGAAAGCAAAUGAGGAGCUUCCUGGAGAGCUAUUUGUGUCACCAACUACAUCCCAUCAGAAGGCUUGCCGGUACGUUGCAACAGAUCUCACAGCACAAUUGUGUCUUCGCAUUGUGCUUUGGCUUGAAGGACUUGCUUCGGAAGCUCUUGAUUUGGAGAAAAAGGUGAGAGGAUCUCAUGUUGGUUCAUAUCUACCAAGUUCUGGUGUUUGGCAUCGUACGCAGCGGUACUUAAAAAGAAAGAACAACGAUUCUAAUAUAGUGAAGCAUGUGGAUUUUGAUGCUCCAACUCGUGAAGGAGCCCAACUUCUUCCUGAUGACAAGAAGCAAGAUGAAUUGCUUUUAGAAGAUAUCUGGACUCUCUUGAGGGCUGGAAGAUUAGAAGAGGCAUGUGAAUUGUGCCGGUCUGCUGGACAGGCAUGGAGAGCUGCCACUCUUUGCCCCUUUGGUGGCGUAGAUAUGUUUCCUUCCCUGGAGGCCAUGCUCAGCAAUGGACAGGCUAGAACAUUACAAGCCAUUGAAUUGGAAAGUGGUAUUGGACGUCAGUGGCGUCUUUGGAAAUGGGCAUCUUAUUGUGCUUCAGAGAAAAUUGCUGAACACGAUGGUGGCCGGUAUGAGAUGGCUGUAUAUGCUAUACAGUGUAGUAACUUGAAGCGUACCUUGCCAAUCUGUACUGACUGGGAGUCAGCUUGUUGGGCAAUGGCAAAAUCUUGGCUGGAUGUUCAAGUGGAUCUGGAAUUAUCUCAAUACCAUACCAGCAGACCAGAAGAGAAACAGUAUGAUGAUGAUAUGAAUGGAACCCAACCUAUGCUCAGUUCAGUGGGCCCAGAAAAUUGGCCAUACCUUGUUCUUGAUCAGCAACCUCGUGAUAUAACUGCACUUUUGCAGAAACUCCACUCAAGUGACCUUGUGCAUGAAACUGUUUCUCGAGCAUGUCGGGAGCAGCAUCGACAAAUUGAGAUGAAUCUCAUGAGUGGAAAUGUAGCUCAUCUUCUUGACCUUCUAUGGUCAUGGAUAUCACCCUCUGAGGAGGAUCAAAACGUUUCGAGUCCACUUAGGUCCCGUGAUGAUCCUGAGAUGAUACGUUUUGGGGCACAUAUUGUUCUUGUCAUGAGAUACUUAUUCAGCGAGGAAAUGGAAGAUGAGUUGGAGGAGAAGCUGGUUACUGUUGGUGAUCUCAUUAUCAACAUGUAUGUGAGGUACUUAUUUUCAGAGCAGCAAGAAGAGUUAGUUGGAGUGUAUGCCUCUCAGCUUGAACGUGAUGUUUGCAUCGAUUUGUUUGUGGAAAUGAUGGAACUAAGGUUAAAUAGCAGCUUGCAUACCAUGUACAAGCUUUUCCUCUCUGCUGUGGAGUAUCUGCCGUUCUCGUCUGGAGAUGUGUCCAAGGCCUGUUUUGAAGAGAUAAUUGAGAGAGUUCUUUCAAGAUCUCGGGAAACGAAACCCAACAAGUACAAUGAAGAUUUUUCCGAUGUUGCGGAACGGCAUCAUUUGCAAGCACUUCACAAGGCAAUGGUCAUUCAGUGGCUUUGCUUUACCCCACCAUCCUCAAUUCCAGGCUUUCAGAUGAUCACAGGGAAGCUUCUGAUGCGGGCAUUGAUGCAUAGCAACACACUAUUUAGAGAGUUUUCCCUGAUAUCAAUGAGGAGAGGCUCUGAACUACCAAUAGGACCACAUAAAUUGCUUGCCAUCCUUGCUGAACCAUUGAAACAAAAGGAGAACUUUUCGCUGGAAGAUCAAGAGAUAUCUGAUAACUUACAAGAGUUUGAAGAUUGGCACGAAUAUUACUCCCUGGAUGCCACUUACCGGGGUUGGCUUAGAUGUGAGAUGGAGAAUUCUUCUGUUCCUCCUGACAUGCUUUCAGCAGAAGAAAAGGAUCAAGCUGUUGCUGCAGCGACACAAACACUGGAGCUGGCUUUCUUGUUAUUACUCAGGGAGGAAAGACCAUGGCUAAAUGCUGUCGAGAUUAGUCCAUUUGAGUCGUCAGAGCUUGUUUUCCUUGAGUUGCAUGCAACUGCAAUACUCUGUCUACCGUCUGGAGAAUGCAUGCCACCAGAUGCAACGUCAUGCACGGCUCUUACAAGCGCACUUUAUUCAACUGUUAGCGAAGAGGAGGUGCUGCAUCGCCAGCUCAAGGUUGAUGUCAAGGUCUCAUCUAAAGAUCCUUGUUGUAUUGAAGUCGCGCUUCGCUGCUUAGCAACAGAAGGUGAUGGGUUUGGACUUCAUGAAGCCAAUGAUGGAGGUCUUCUUGCUGCAAUAAUGGCCGCUGGGUUUAAAGGCGAACUCAAUCGGUUUCAGCCUGGAGUUUCGAUGGAAAUUUCACGACUUGAUGCUUGGUAUUCUGAUGGUCAUGGUUCGGUUGAAAGUACUGCUGCUUAUAUCAUCCGAGGGCUCUGUCGGAGGUGCUGUCUACCAGAAACUAUUCUACGAUCCAUGCAGGCAUCUAUCUCCCUUUCUGAAGCAGGCGAUUCUCUAGAUCAUUGUGAUAAACUCAUUGAGUUGGUUGCUUCAUCAGAUUCCGGAAUGAUCCAUUUGUUCAGCCAGCAGCAGAUACAGGAGUUUCUGAUCUUUGAGAGGGAGUGCUUCAUAUGUAAAAUGGAGCUUGAGGAAGAGCAGAUACCUACUGAUGGCUAAUUCAUCUGAGUUUACAUUAUCAGGUGUGACACCUGAAAUCUUAUUCACCAGUUCCUAGUGGAAUGGAAUCAGACAUGUUCUACUUGCUGACUGAAUGAGAAGCCAGGAUUUGAUAGUCUCAACAUGGCAUACUCUCUGUUGUGUGGCCAAGAACUAGCUGUAAUGUAUUACGACCCUGUGGAAAAAAGGGUAGAUGAAAUUUUCUGUAUAGGAGUUAUCUCUGACUGCAAGUCUGUUACUCUCAGCUGAUAACAGCAGCAGAUGAGAAUGUACUCACUUCAGUUCGUCUUUAUCGUAAAAUGAUCUACUGUAUAAGGGCGUGCCCGUCCAAAAUGAGCUCCAGGCCAAAUUUUGCACUUCC